AAGACUAUAGACCUGCGGAGUACCUGCGGAAGGAUCAUUACAUGAUUUGAGGGGGCUCACGUCCCCUCAUCCAACCCACAAACCCCGAGGAACUUUUAUGUCGAGUGGUUCGGCGCUCUCUUUGAGAGCCGCCCCUCAAACGCAUCGCAGGCUUUUCGUGAAGGUCUGAUGUGUCACAUCGUGAGUAUUAAAACUUUUAGCAACGGAUCUCU
rnacentral:misc_RNA from 1 species